UUGAAACAUUAAAGAGUAUUUUUAUAAGAGCUAUUUAAGACAAUUCAUCUUAAAGCUAAUCGUAACCUUUCUGGUUAUUCCAGCAAUUGACGUUUCGAACAAACAAAUCUUACGUUUUCAAUACAGAAUGUAAAUAGUUUGAAAAUAAGCAUUGAAUUCAAUGCUGUUCCAAAAGAAUUCAAUACGAUGUAACUCAAGUAGCACAAGAGAAAUUGAAGAUGUUAAAUAAGCUUAUACA